GCGAGUGAAGCGGGAUGAGCUCAAAUUUAAAAUCUGGCGGCCUCAGGUCGUCCGAGUUGUAGUCUAGAGAAUCGUUUUCCGCGUUGGCCUGUGUACAAGUCCCUUGGAACAGGGCGUCAUAGAGGGUGAGAAUCCCGUCCUUGACACAGAUUACCAAUGCUUUGUGAUGCGAUCUCGAAGAGUCGAGUUGUUUGGGAAUGCAGCUCAAAAUGGGUGGUAAAUUCCAUCUAAAGCUAAAUAUUGGCGAGAGACCGAUAGCGAACAAGUACCGUGAGGGAAAGAUGAAAAGCACUUUGGAAAGAGAGUUAAACAGUACGUGAAAUUGUUAAAAGGGAAACGAUUGAAGUCAGUCAUGCUUUCCGAGACUCAGCCGAUUCUGUCGGUGUACUUCUCGGUUGGCAGGCCAGCAUCAGUUUCGAUCUGUGGAAAAGGUUGGAGGGAACGUGGCAUCCUCGGAUGUGUUAUAGCCCUUCUUCGAAUACAUAGAGCGGGACUGAGGAACGCAGCGCGCCUUUUAUUAGGUUGGCCCUCGGGUACAUACGCGCUUAGGAUGCUGGCAUAAUGGCUUUAAACGACCCGUCUUGAAACACGGACC
rnacentral:rRNA from 1 species